UGAAGCUUUAAGAUCAUGAGUCAGGAAAACUCCAGUCCUGGGGGAAACAUUUCCUGUCAUUACUUUGAGAGGGCAGGAAGGGAAAAGGGGGUUUUGGGGGAGAUCUCAUAGAAAGGGAGAGAUGUUAGCUCUUUGCCAGGUACCAAGGUGGACCUUUGUUGGAGGAAAGGACCCCCACUCUUCCUUAAAGAACUCUCAGAUCUAUUAAGUUGAAAAACCGAGGGAAAUUCAGCAAAAGACAAAGCGGGGGUAGCACGGGGUUGGCCAAUAGGAUCUUUGGACCAAUUGGGGUUGUCUCUUCUCUCUCCUGCACGCAGGCUAAGGCUCCUUUCUCGAGGUCUGGAGCUCAAGCCCUGGCUGGCUUCUCCACUCGAAUCAGUGGCCAGACACACAUGGAACUCAAAAAACUCAAGGCUUUUGGAUUUUGAAUGGAGGAGGCCUAAGCGUCUGGGCUGAUGUUUCCAAACGCCAUUGGUUGCGGCAGGGCGAUUACAUCACCCCGGAGAGCUUUGGGAGGGAGAAAAGCUGGGAGGGAGGAAAUACUAAGAGAGGGAGAGAGAGAGGAGUGUCAGAGCCGUGCCUAGAGAGACACUGAGAUCGAGAGAAAGAGAAAGAAGACUGGAACGAGCGUUAGGAAUUGUCAUGGGCUCCCCAAAUGGGAGGCGAACCGAGUCCGUGGAAGGAAGAGCAACGGUGAAACUGGGGGAAACUCGACAAGCCAAACAGAACGGACUCUGGUGACCGAGGUCUGUGCUUUUAGGAAGAUCUCUUUGGCACCUGUGUGGAGUAUGGAGUGGAAAAUGGAAAAACUGGAAGAAGGAAGACACUUCUGCGAUCUCUUGAAACAGUCCAGGCUAGAGGUGAUAAGAGCUAGAAAUAGGGCGGUAACCAUGUGAGUGGAGAGAAAGGGAUGGACAGGAUACUGUGGAGGUAGAAUUGACAAGGCUUGGCAACAAGUGGGGUAUAUUGGGGGAAGGAGGGAGAGAUGGGGAUCAAGAAUGAAAUUAGAAGUUUCUAACUGGGGAAGCCAGAAAGUUAUGAGACAGAAACAGAGGAGGUGUUUUGUACAUGUUUUGUUUGAGAUGCCUAUGGGUCACCCAGUCUGGAUUGUCCGAUAGACAGAUGAUCGAGGUCUGAAGUUCAAGAAGGAAACCAGCACUGAUAUUUUGACCCAUAGGAGUUGAUAAGGCCUCCUAAAGAGGAAAGAGAAGAGGAAAGGUCCAGGACAAAGUCCUGGACUAAACCUUAUAUAAGAAGUCCAGGCUUUAAAACUUGAACUUAAAACUAUGCCUGUAUGCCCUGAGUUGGCUAUGAACUUACAUUAUUUCUGGGGGAACUUUGGACUACCUUCCCAAUAACAUUCACUGGCUUAGGAGUUAUAGAUAAUUCCUAGGCAGGAUGUGGAAAGGAAAGAUCAAGAACUAUUCAAGUAAGUCAAUAAGGAUUUAUUAAAUACCUACUAUGU
rnacentral:lncRNA from 1 species